rnacentral:rRNA from 1 species
UUCCGGUUGAUCCUGCCGGAGGCCACUGCUAUUGGGAUCCGACUAAGCCAUGCGAGUCGAGAGGGUUCGGCCCUCGGCAGACUGCUCAGUAACACGUGGAUAACCUACCCUCAGGCGGAGAAUAACCUCGGGAAACUGAGAAUAAUACUCCAUAGAUCUAGGAUGCUGGAAUGCGCCUAGAUUGAAAGCUCUGGCGCCUAAGGAUGGGUCUGCGGACUAUCAGGUUGUAGUCAGGGUAAAGACCUGACUAGCCUACGACGGAUAUGGGUUGUGAGAGCAAUAGCCCAGAGACGAUAUCUGAGACACGAUAUCGGGCCCUACGGGGCGCAGCAGGCGCGAAAUCUUCACAAUGUGCGAAAGCACGAUGAGGGGAUCCCAAGUGCUGGCACGUAAGUGUCAGCUGUUUCUUUGUCUAAAAAACAGAGAGAGUAAGAGCUGGGUAAGACGGGUGCCAGCCGCCGCGGUAAUACCUGCAGCUCAAGUGGUGGCCGCUAUUAUUGGGCCUAAAACGUCAGUAGCCGGUUUAGUAAAUGCUUGGGUAAAUUGUGUAGCUUAACUAUACGAAUACCGGGUAGACUGCUAAACUUGGGACCGGGAGAGGCUAGAGGUACUCCUAGGGUAGAGGUGAAAUUCUGUAAUCCUAGGGGGACCACCAGUGGCGAAGGCGUCUAGCUAGAACGGGUCUGACGGUGAGGGACGAAGCCCUGGGGCGCGAACCGGAUUAGAUACCCGGGUAGUCCAGGGUGUAAACGCUGCUUGCUUGAUGUUAGUUGGGCUCCGAGCCCAACUAGUGUCGGAGAGAAGUUGUUAAGCAAGCUGCCUGGGAAGUACGGUCGCAAGACUGAAACUUAAAGGAUUGGCGGGGGAGCACAGCAACGGGUGGAGCGUGGCGUUUAUGACUCACGCGGU